rnacentral:rRNA from 1 species
UCCGGAGGGUGCAAACGUUGCUCGGAAUCAUUGGGCGUAAAGCGCACGUAGGCGGCCUGAUAAGUCGGGUGUGAAAGCCCUGGGCUCAACCCAGGAAGUGCACUCGAAACUGUCAGGCUUGAAUAUGGAAGAGGGUCGCGGAAUUCCCGGUGUAGAGGUGAAAUUCGUAGAUAUCGGGAGGAACACCAGUGGCGAAGGCGGCGACCUGGGCCAAUAUUGACGCUGAGGUGCGAAAGCGUGGGGAGCAAACAGG